rnacentral:rRNA from 1 species
UACGGAGGAUGCGAGCGUUAUCCGGAUUUAUUGGGUUUAAAGGGUGCGUAGGUUGUUUUUUAAGUCAGCGGUGAAAGUUUGUGGCUCAACCAUAAAAUUGCCGUUGAAACUGGAAGACUUGAGUGUGUUUGAGGUAGGCGGAAUGCGUGGUGUAGCGGUGAAAUGCAUAGAUAUCACGCAGAACUCCGAUUGCGAAGGCAGCUUACUAAGCCAUAACUGACACUGAAGCACGAAGGCCAGGGGAGCGAAAGGG